CUUUAUUGGAGAGUUUGAUCCUGGCUCAGGAUGAACGCUGGCGGCGUGCCUAAUACAUGCAAGUCGAGCGAAUGACGAGGAGCUUGCUCCUCUGAUUUAGCGGCGGACGGGUGAGUAACACGUGGGUAACCUGCCUGUAAGACGGGGAUAACUCCGGGAAACCGGAGCUAAUACCGGAUGAUA
rnacentral:rRNA from 1 species